rnacentral:rRNA from 1 species
UUCUUUGAUGACGAGUGGCGGACGGGUGAGUAAUGCUUGGGAAUCUAGCUUAUGGAGGGGGAUAACUACGGGAAACUGUAGCUAAUACCGCGUAGAAUCGGGAGAUGAAAGUGUGGGACCUUCGGGCCACAUGCCAUAGGAUGAGCCCAAGUGGGAUUAGGUAGUUGGUGAGGUAAAGGCUCACCAAGCCGACGAUCUCUAGCUGGUCUGAGAGGAUGACCAGCCACACUGGGACUGAGACACGGCCCAGACUCCUACGGGAGGCAGCAGUGGGGAAUAUUGCGCAAUGGGGGCAACCCUGACGCAGCCAUGCCGCGUGAAUGAAGAAGGCCUUCGGGUUGUAAAGUUCUUUCGGUAGCGAGGAAGGCAUUUAGUUUAAUAGACUAGGUGAUUGACGUUAACUACAGAAGAAGCACCGGCUAACUCCGUGCCAGCAGCCGCGGUAAUACGGAGGGUGCGAGCGUUAAUCGGAAUAACUGGGCGUAAAGGGCACGCAGGCGGUGACUUAAGUGAGGUGUGAAAGCCCCGGGCUUA